rnacentral:lncRNA from 1 species
AAGGACUUUGAAAAACUAACUCUUGAAAAUGAGAAAUUAAAAGAGGAAAACAAGUUUUAUGGCAAAAGAAGCGCCGAUAAACCCGAAAGCUCAAAUAAGGAUUGUACUUCUUGCAAAUCUCUAAAGGCGGAAGUAGGAAGUCUUAGAAGCACUUUGCACAAAUUCAAUUCUUCACACAAAAAUCUCAAUGAAGUGCUUGUAAAUUUGAAAUCCACUAAGCACGGUAUAGGCUUUAGACACG